rnacentral:rRNA from 1 species
GACGAACGCUGGCGGCGUGCUUAACACAUGCAAGUCGAACGGAAAGGCCCUGCUUUUGUGGGGUGCUCGAGUGGCGAACGGGUGAGUAACACGUGAGUAACCUGCCCUUGACUUUGGGAUAACUUCAGGAAACUGGGGCUAAUACCGGAUAGGAGCUCCUGCUGCAUGGUGGGGGUUGGAAAGUUUCGGCGGUUGGGGAUGGACUCGCGGCUUAUCAGCUUGUUGGUGGGGUAGUGGCUUACCAAGGCUUUGACGGGUAGCCGGCCUGAGAGGGUGACCGGCCACAUUGGGACUGAGAUACGGCCCAUACUCCUACGGGAGGCAGCAGUGGGGAAUAUGGCACAAUGGGCGGAAGCCUGAUGCAGCAACGCCGCGUGCGGGAUGACGGCCUUCGGGUUGUAAACCGCUUUCGCCUGUGACGAAGCGUGAGUGACAGUAAUGGGUAAAGAAGCACCGGCUAACUACGUG